UAUGGUAACAUAUUUAGCUGACUGAUACUAAUAGGUCGAGGGCUUGACCAA
rnacentral:rRNA from 1 species